UCUCUCUCUCUCUCUCUCUCUCUCUCUGACAAUGGCGUUCUCUUCUCUGUCUGCCUAUUAUCAUCUUAGCUCCUCUUGUUCGAAGACUAAUUGUAACGAUAAUAAUAGAAAUGUCAACGUUAAGCUGUUCUCUUCUCUUUUAGCUUCGCCCAUUAGCUUGUCUUCAAACCCCAAACUUUCUCUGCAAUUCUUUCACCAGAAACACUCCCCACUUGUUCCCUUAACUCCCAGACGCCUCUCAGUCAUUGCAAUGGCUCCCCCUAAGCCAGCUGGGAAGGCCAAAAAAGUCGUUGGGUUUGAAGACAAGCUAAUGGGCGAAGCUAAAAGAGAAGAGAACAGCUUAACGGGUCCAGCGCUUGGUGCUAAGGGUGUCAACAUUAUGGCUUUCUGUAAAGAUUACAAUGCCA
rnacentral:misc_RNA from 1 species